AAAUUGAAGAGUUUGAUCAUGGCUCAGAUUGAACGCUGGCGGCAGGCCUAACACAUGCAAGUCGAACGGUAGCACAGAGGAGCUUGCUCCUUGGGUGACGAGUGGCGGACGGGUGAGUAAUGUCUGGGAAACUGCCCGAUGGAGGGGGAUAACUACUGGAAACGGUAGCUAAUACCGCAUAACGUCGCAAGACCAAAGAGGGGGACCUUCGGGCCUCUUGCCAUCGGAUGUGCC
rnacentral:rRNA from 1 species